UCUGAUCAAUUUUGGAUGAUUUCAUCAGCUUGUAUAUCAGCUCUCUCCAUAAUAAAUCCCAUUGAUAAAUUAGUUCUCGAGAUAUUUCGGAUCAAUCAGAUGCCAUAAACAUUAUACACUAUAUGGAUGGCCCCGGCCAUAGGCACACUUGCGCUUCUCCUUAGAUAAGGAUAUUGGAAGGAAAUUAUCUUGGACAGCAGCAAGAUAUUUAUUUAUUAGUUACUUUUCAGAUUUAGAGAGGG
rnacentral:lncRNA from 1 species